rnacentral:rRNA from 1 species
UACGUAGGGGGCAAGCGUUGUCCGGAUUUAUUGGGCGUAAAGAGCGUGUAGGCGGUUUGGUAGGUCCGUUGUGAAAACUCGAGGCUCAACCUCGAGACGCCGGCGGAAACCAUCUGGCUAGAGUCCGGAAGAGGAGAGUGGAAUUCCUGGUGUAGCGGUGAAAUGCGCAGAUAUCAGGAAGAACACCCGUGGCGAAGGCGGCUCUCUGGGACGGUACUGACGCUGAGACGCGAAAGCGUGGGGAGCGAACAGG